rnacentral:tRNA from 1 species
ACUUUUAAUGAUUGCAGAAAUCCGA